rnacentral:rRNA from 1 species
UACGUAGGGGGCGAGCGUUGUCCGGAAUCAUUGGGCGUAAAGCGCGUGUAGGCGGCCCGGUAAGUCCGCUGUGAAAGUCCAGGGCUCAACCCUGGGAUGCCGGUGGAUACUGUCGGGCUCGAGUCCGGAAGAGGCGAGUGGAAUUCCUGGUGGUAGCGGUGAAAUGCGUAGAUAUGUGGAGGAACACCGAUGGCGAAGGCAGCCCCCUGGGAUGAACACUGACGCCUCAUGCACGAAAGCGUGGGGAGC